UACGGAGAGUGCAAGCGUUGUUCGGAAUUAUUGGGCGUAAAGCGCGUGUAGGUGGCUCAACAAGUCUGGCGUGAAAGCCCGGAGCUCAACUCCGGAAGUGCGCUGGAAACUGUAGAGCUUGAGUACCGGAGGGGAAAGCGGAAUUCACGAGUGUAGAGGUGAAAUUCGUAGAUAUUCGGAAGAACAUCAGUGGCGAAGGCGGCUUUCUGGACGGAUACUGACACUGAGACGCGAAAGCGUGGGGAGCAAACAGG
rnacentral:rRNA from 1 species